rnacentral:rRNA from 1 species
GACGAACGCUGGCGGCGUGCUUAACACAUGCAAGUCGAACGAAGUGGCGAACGGGUGAGUAACGCGUAAUCAACCUGCCCUUCAGAGGGUGAUAACAGUUGGAAACGACUGCUAAUACCUCAUACUGAAGGUUGGUAUUGCGUCUGAUUAGCUAGUGGGAGGGGUAACGGCCCACAAAGGCGAUUAUCAGUAGGCGGGCUGAGAGGAUGAACGGACACAUUGGGACUGAGACACGGCCCAGACGCCUACGGGAUGCAGCAGUGGGGAAUCUUCCGCAAUGGAGGAAAGUCUGACGGAGCAACGCCGAGUGAGUGAUGACGGCCUUCGGGUUGUAAAGCUAUGUUAAUCGGGACGCGGUACCGGAAUAGAAAGCAACGGCUAACUACGUGCCAGCAGCCGCGGUAAUUC